UACGAAUGGGGCUAGCGUUGCUCGGAAUGACUGAGCGUAAAGGGCGCGUAGGCGGCUUACAUAGUUAGGCGUGAAAUUCCUGGGCUCAACCUGGGGACUGCGUCUAAUACAUGUAGGCUUGAGUGUGAAAGAGGGUCGUGGAAUUUCCAGUGUAGAGGUGAAAUUCGUAGAUAUUGGAAAGAACACCGGUGGCGAAGGCGGCGACCUGGUCCAUUACUGACGCUGAGGCGCGAAAGCGUGGGGAGCAAACAGG
rnacentral:rRNA from 1 species